AAGAUAUAGCAUAUUCUUCUGAAUAUACUUUAUUAACCAAUUCCGAGUACCUUACCCGUUGGCUUCUCGCAUCGCUGUCCGCACGCCCGCUGAAAGGAUUAAGUCGUUGUGAGUCCUUGCAGAAAGGUAAUCAUGAACUCUUGCAUGACCAUGGCAUCCUGUAUCGGGAGAUGCUGUUAGAGCAGUCAUUA
rnacentral:misc_RNA from 1 species